UGGGGAAUAUUGCACAAUGGGGGAAACCCUGAUGCAGCGACGCCGCGUGAGGGAAGAAGGUUUUCGGAUUGUAAACCUCUGUCCUCGGGGAAGAUAAUGACGGUACCCGAGGAGGAAGCCACGGCUAACUACGUGCCAGCAGCCGCGGUAAUACGUAGGUGGCAAGCGUUGUCCGGAAUUACUGGGUGUAAAGGGAGCGUAGGCGGGGUGUCAAGUUGAAUGUUAAAUCUAUCGGCUCAACCGGUAGCUGCGUUCAAAACUGGCACUCUUGAGUGGAGUAGAGGUUGGCGGAAUUCCUAGUGUAGCGGUGAAAUGCGUAGAUAUUAGGAGGAACACCAGUGGCGAAGGCGGCCAACUGGGCUUUAACUGACGCUGAGGCUCGAAAGCGUGGGUAGCAAACA
rnacentral:rRNA from 1 species